CUACGGGAUGCUGCAGUGAGGAAUAUUGCACAAUGGGGGGAACCCUGAUGCAGCAACGCCGCGUGGAGGAUGACGCAUUUCGGUGUGUAAACUCCUUUUAUAUGUCAAGAAAGUGACGGUAGCAUAUGAAUAAGCACCGGCUAACUCCGUGCCAGCAGCCGCGGUAAUACGGAGGGUGCAAGCGUUACUCGGAAUCACUGGGCGUAAAGGACGCGUAGGCGGGUUGGAAAGUCAGGUGUGAAAUCCUACAGCUUAACUGUAGAACUGCACUUGAAACUUCUAAUCUAGAGUAUGGGAGGGGGAGAUGGAAUUAGUGGUGUAGGGGUAAAAUCCGUAGAUAUCACUAGGAAUACCUAAAGCGAAGGCGAUCUCCUGGAACAUUACUGACGCUAAGGCGUGAAAGCGUGGGGAGCAAACAGGAUUGAUACCCUGGUAGUC
rnacentral:rRNA from 1 species